CCUACGGGAGGCUGCCGUGAGGAAUAUUGGUCAAUGGACGAGAGUCUGAACCAGCCAAGUAGCGUGAAGGAUGACUGCCCUAUGGGUUGUAAACUUCUUUUAUAUGGGAAUAAAAUGUUCCACGUGUGGGAUUUUGUAUGUACCAUAUGAAUAAGGAUCGGCUAACUCCGUGCCAGCAGCCGCGGUAAUACGGAGGAUCCGAGCGUUAUCCGGAUUUAUUGGGUUUAAAGGGAGCGUAGGUGGAUUGUUAAGUCAGUUGUGAAAGUUUGCGGCUCAACCGUAAAAUUGCAGUUGAAACUGGCAGUCUUGAGUACAGUAGAGGUGGGCGGAAUUCGUGGUGUAGCGGUGAAAUGCUUAGAUAUCACGAAGAACUCCGAUUGCGAAGGCAGUUCACUGGACUGCAACUGACACUGAGGCUCGAAAGUGUGGGUAUCAAACAGGAUUAGAUACCCGUAUAGUC
rnacentral:rRNA from 1 species